rnacentral:rRNA from 2 species
UGGGGAAUAUUGCACAAUGGGGGAAACUCUGAUGCAGCGACGCCGCGUGAGCGAAGAAGAUCUUCGGAUUGUAAAGCUCUGUCUUAGGGGACGAUAAUGACGGUACCCUGAGAGGAAGCCACGGCUAACUACGUGCCAGCAGCCGCGGUAAUACGUAGGUGGCAAGCGUUGUCCGGAAUUACUGGGUGUAAAGGGAGCGCAGGCGGGCGAGCAAGUUGGAAGUGAAAAUCAUGGGCUUAACCCAUGACCUGCUUUCAAAACUGCUUGUCUUGAGUGGUGUAGAGGUAGGCGGAAUUCCCGGUGUAGCGGUGGAAUGCGUAGAUAUCGGGAGGAACACCAGUGGCGAAGGCGGCCUACUGGGCACUAACUGACGCUGAGGCUCGAAAGCAUGGGUAGCAAACAGG